rnacentral:rRNA from 1 species
UAGGGAAUAUUGGUCAAUGGGCGAGAGCCUGAACCAGCCAUGCCGCGUGCAGGAAGACGGCCUUCUGGGUUGUAAACUGCUUUUAUACAGGAAUAAAAGGGCUCUGCGGGGCGGAUUGCAUGUACUGUAUGAAUAAGCACCGGCUAACUCCGUGCCAGCAGCCGCGGUAAUACGGAGGGUGCAAGCGUUGUCCGGAUUUAUUGGGUUUAAAGGGUGCGUAGGCGGGUAUUUAAGUCAGUGGUGAAAUCCCUGAGCUCAACUGAGGAAUUGCCAUUGAUACUGGAUAUCUUGAUUACCGUAUAGGUAGGCGGAAUUUAUGGUGUAGCGGUGAAAUGCAUAGAUACCAUAAAGAACACCGAUAGCGAAGGCAGCUUACUGGACGUGUAAUGACGCUGAUGCACGAAAGCGUGGGUAGCGAACGGGAUUAGAUACCCCCGUAGUCC